rnacentral:lncRNA from 1 species
CGCACAGCCGCCCAGGUCUGCGAUAGUGGCAGGUGCUGGACACAGUGAAGCCACAAAGCUGGCGAUGACAGACGGCCAGCUGAACUCCCUGCUCUGUUUACUGUGGCUGCUGUCUCUGUCACCAGCUCUGAAGAGACACAAUACACCUUUUCUGGAGCCCCCGAGGGGCGCCUCACCAGCUCUGCCAUCGCACAGUCUUUGCAGACAAGAUCUCACUGCGUCCACCUUUCUCCAGGAGCACAGGAGUGACACCACACUGAUGACAUCCUCCUUCAAGGAGACCCAUUGGACACUUGCUAAGGACACACAAAUCCAACAUCUUUUAGUCUCUUUUGGGUUCUUGUGGCAACGUCUUCCUCAUUUACGAAUUUUACUUCCAAAUUAAAAGCAACAAGCACUCCUGUUGGUGCCCUGACAGACCCCUUCUCUAAAGGACAUUGUGGCAA